UGCAUGCACCACUGGUAUCUGAGAUACUUUCUCAGGAGGCUGGAGGGAAGACAGAUAUGGCCCAGAUGCUUAGGAAGAGGGGACAGACAAGAGUAAGCUAAGCUUCAACAAGUUAUGUGGGGCAUGUAUUUUAAGAACAAAAUCAACUGUAAGGUGAAGCUGAAUAAUCUUGCAACCACAUUUUGGCUGUCAACACAAGUUUGGUUCUCAAAUGUUUUUGUGCAAAGAAUUUCUUUUGAAAACAGCUUUAGGUUGGCCUCUAACUACAGAGCUUUAUAGGCAAAUGAAAAAAAAAAAAGUAAAGCAUAUGGAAGCUGUAUAAUUCUGUUCUGGCACGUAAUGCUGUCCCUGGAUUGUAGUAACUUCCUUCUUUAUUAUUCAAGGAGCAGUGUGGUUCAAGAAUUGAACAAAAAAACACCUCUGCUAAUAUAUGGGCAAGGACAAGGAAAGCACUGCAAUUGCAGUAACUUUUUUUUCACACCAUAAAAAUGAAGGAGAAAGACAACUUCUCUGGGAAGGCAAUUCCACUUGCUCACUCACAUAAUCACAAAGAAACGACACAGAUCAGCCCUGGCUCCAGGGGGAUCUUCCUGAAGUUCCAAGUUUUGUAGCAUAAACUAAGUAUAGUGAUCUGGUUUUAUAUGUAGUAGAAUAGAUGCUGGGUGUGCAGUUGUUGGGAGGCAACAGAAAUUCUGUGAAAAGCAACAUGUGACAGGAGUAGCCUGGGAGGACAGAUGACAACUUUAUGUGCAGCAGCUUUUCUCUGGCUCCUUGUUUCCACAUGCCAGGCACAGCUGCCAUCCAGAGCUGCAUGUGCCAGGUGCCAAGGAGUGUGUUCCCCUCUCCCAUGAGAGCUUUGCCCCCUUGCAUACUCUGGUGUUCUCUGACCUGUUGCAGGUGUGUUCCUGUCAUGUGGUUUUGCUGAAGGGAAUGGUUUCAUAGCAGUUGGACAAUCCCAUUGCUUUUGAGUGAUACCAUCCCUGCUGCAUCAGGUGUUAUAGAGUUUGCUGGGGAAAAAAGUCACACUAAACCCCCAAAUACAAAAAGACAAUUCAAACAAAUGACUACGUUCAAUUUUUUCAUACUAUAGGAGGAAUAUUUGUUGGCACUCACUUUUUUGGUAGAAAGAUUGGGAUUUUUAGCAUUAUUAGUGGUGCUAAUUGAAGCUAUGUUUGGGUUAUCUAGCUCCCUAAAUUCAAUACAUUAUUC